rnacentral:misc_RNA from 1 species
GAGGAGGAGGAGGAGGAGAAGGAAGCCAACACCAAAUGGUUUAUGCAACAGUAUAGUAAAAAUAUAAAUGGCCAAGUAAGUUUGUCCACACUUCUUGCCUGUAAGUCUAAUAACAACAUAAUAGGAACAAAAGCAGUAAAAAUAAUUGUGACUGUAAACAGAAGAAGGUACGAUGCAUCCUCCACAUAGCCAAAACAACAGCCUCUAUUUGUAGGACCAAUGAUGCUUAAAUAUAUAUAGAAAUGCCAAAUAUUUCGACUUCCAUGAAUAGUGCACCAUUUAGUUAUUUUGGUCUUCUAUGAAUUGGCUAUAUGUGAUGAAAAUACCUGUUUCCACAAUUGAUAAGGCCACAAGGUCGCAUUUCUACCUUGUUCGAAGUAUACAGCUUCACAAAUAGAUCAUAUGAGAAAAGCCCCUUAUCAUUGUAUUUUCCACAUCUAGGUCCUCUAAGUUGAUCAACAACUUUCCGCACUGAUGAUUUCAGCCCACUAAUAGU